AUACGGAGGGUGCAAGCGUUAAUCGGAAUUACUGGGCGUAAAGGGCGCGUAGGUGGAUUUGCAAGUUGGCUGUGAAAGCCCCUGGCUUAACCUGGGAAUGCCAGUCAAAACUGCAAGUCUAGAGUACAGUAGAGGGAAGUGGAAUUUCCGGUGUAGCGGUGAAAUGCGUAGAUAUCGGAAGUAACAUCAGUGGCGAAGGCGGCUUCCUGGACUGAUACUGACACUGAGGCGCGAAAGCGUGGGUAGCAAACAGGAUUAGAUACCCGAGUAGUCC
rnacentral:rRNA from 1 species